rnacentral:lncRNA from 1 species
AUGGCACAUGCAAGCAAAACACCCCACCAAGGCAGCUGGAGUUGCUCAAUGUAGUAUUCACAGGCAAAUAUGGUGACGGCAAUGUUAGCAACAAGGAUGCAGAUGAACCACCACUCCGGGACCUGCUUAUAUCUUCUCAUAAGCUUUGUAUGUACAUCCAUCUUUUUCUCUUGAAAAGCUGAUUUACUUAACUGCCAAAUUUCACUACACAAAAGCAUCAUGAUUCUUAGCUUCAUUUUCUUGUUUUCCUUAGCAGAAUGAUGAAAACUGCAGAAGAACUUGCUCACCUUCCAUGGAAGAGGAAAACAUGAACAAUCGUCGCGGUAAGGGAUGCGAAACCAACACCGUAUGUGACAGCAAAGAAAGUGCUGAGGUACAGUGGGCCAUUCUUCUCGUACGCCUUUGU